rnacentral:lncRNA from 1 species
GGUUGAAACGUUGGAUCAAAAUGCUCCAAAGCUCGAGGAGCGAAAUGCUUCAAAACCUGAGGAUAGCAAUCCCGGGGAGCGAAAUGCUUCAAAACCUGAGGAUAGCAAUCUCGGGGAGCGAAAUGCUUCAAAACCUGAGGAUAGCAAUCUCGGGGAGCGAAAUGCUUCAAAGCCCGAGGAACGAAAUGCUUUAAAACCUGAGGAUAGCAAUCCCGAGGAGCGAAAUGCUUCAAAACCUGAGGAUAGCAAUCCCGAGGAGCGAAAUGCUUCAAAGCCCAAGGAGCGAAAUGCUUCAAAACUUGAGGAUAGCAAUCGUUGAGAACUCCCUAGUUUUUUACUUCCCCGAGAACUCGCGUAUAAAGUUUGCUCAAUUUUUUAGUAUUCAUGGUUGUACUAAUUUUGUAUUGUAAUAUCAACAUCUUCUUAUUUGAAUGUUCAUACGUGUAACAUCUAGAAAAGUUAAAGAUUAUAUUAGAUCUCCCUGAUCCCCU